AUACGUAGGGAGCGAGCGUUGUCCGGAAUUACUGGGUGUAAAGGGUGCGUAGGCGGGACGGCAAGUCAGAUGUGAAAUACCGGGGCUCAACCCCGGGGCUGCAUUUGAAACGGUCGUUCUUGAGUGAGGUAGAGGUAAGCGGAAUUCCUAGUGUAGCGGUGAAAUGCGUAGAUAUUAGGAGGAACAUCGGUGGCGAAGGCGGCUUACUGGGCCUUUACUGACGCUGAGGCACGAAAGCGUGGGGAGCAAACAGGAUUAGAUACCCUGGUAGUCCACGCUGUAAACGAUGAUGACUAGGUGUGGGGGGACUGAACCCUUCCGUGCCGCAGUUAACACAAUAAGUCAUCCACCUGGGGAGUACGGCCGCAAGGUUGAAACUCAAAUGAAUUGACGGGG
rnacentral:rRNA from 1 species